GAAAGCGAGCGGCGGAUGGGUGAGUAACACGAUGGGGAACCUGCCCCAUAGUCUGGGAUACCACUUGGAAACAGGUGCUAAUACCGGAUAAGAAAGCAGAUCGCAUGAUCAGCUUUUAAAAGGCGGCGUAAGCUGUCGCUAUGGGAUGGCCCCGCGGUGCAUUAGCUAGUUGGUAAGGUAAAGGCUUACCAAGGCGAUGAUGCAUAGCCGAGUUGAGAGACUGAUCGGCCACAUUGGGACUGAGACACGGCCCAAACUCCUACGGGAGGCAGCAGUAGGGAAUCUUCCACAAUGGACGCAAGUCUGAUGGAGCAACGCCGCGUGAGUGAAGAAGGUUUUCGGAUCGUAAAGCUCUGUUGUUGGUGAAGAAGGAUAGAGGUAGUAACUGGCCUUUAUUUGACGGUAAUCAACCAGAAAGUCACGGCUAACUACGUGCCAGCAGCCGCGGUAAUACGUAGGUGGCAAGCGUUGUCCGGAUUUAUUGGGCGUAAAGCGAGCGCAGGCGGAAGAAUAAGUCUGAUGUGAAAGCCCUCGGCUUAACCGAGGAACUGCAUCGGAAACUGUUUUUCUUGAGUGCAGAAGAGGAGAGUGGAACUCCAUGUGUAGCGGUGGAAUGCGUAGAUAUAUGGAAGAACACCA
rnacentral:rRNA from 1 species